rnacentral:rRNA from 1 species
GACGAACGCUGGCGGCGUGCUUAACACAUGCAAGUCUAACGGAAAGGCCCUGCUUUUGUGGGGUGCUCGAGUGGCGAACGGGUGAGUAACACGUGAGUAACCUGCCCUUGACUUUGGGAUAACUUCAGGAAACUGGGGCUAAUACCGGAUAGGAGCUCCUGCUGCUUGGUGGGGGUUGGAAAGUUUCGGCGGUUGGGGAUGGACUCGCGGCUUAUCAGCUUGUUGGUGGGGUAGUGGCUUACCAAGGCUUUGACGGGUAGCCGGCCUGAAAGGGUGACCGGCCACAUUGGGAAUGAGGUACGGCCCAGACUCCUACGGGAGGCAGCAGUGGGGAAUAAUGCACAAUGGGCGGAAGACUGAUGCAGCAACGCCGCGUGAGGGAUGACGGACUUCGGGUUGUAAACCGCUUUCGCCUGUGACGAAGAGUGAGUGAAGGUAAUGGGUAAAGAAGCACCGGAUAACUACGUG